UGAAGAUAAGAUGGAUUAGCGGCGGACGGGUGAGUAACACGUGAGUAACCUGCCUUAGACAUUGGGAUAGCCUCGGGAAACCGGGAUUAAUACCAAAUGAAAUCACAUAUGCACAUGCAUAAAUGAUCAAAGCUCCGGCGGUCUAAGAUGGACUCGCGUCCCAUUAGCUAGUUGGUGAGGUAACGGCCCACCAAGGCGACGAUGGGUAGCCGGCCUGAGAGGGUGAACGGCCACAUUGGAACUGAGAAACGGUCCAAACUCCUACGGGAGGCAGCAGUGGGGAAUAUUGCACAAUGGAGGGAACUCUGAUGCAGCGACGCCGCGUGAACGAAGAAGGCUUUCGAGUCGUAAAGUUCUUUUAUAUGGGAAGAUAAUGACGGUACCAUAAGAAAAAGCCCCGGCUAACUACGUGCCAGCAGCCGCGGUAAUACGUAGGGGGCUAGCGUUGUCCGGAAUCACUGGGCGUAAAGGGUUCGCAGGCGGAAAUGCAAGUCAGAUGUAAAAGGCAGUAGCUUAACUACUGUAAGCAUUUGAAACUGCAUAUCUUGAGAAGAGUAGAGGUAAGUGGAAUUUUUAGUGUAGCGGUGAAAUGCGUAGAUAUUAAAAAGAAUACCGGUGGCGAAGGCGACUUACUGGGCUCAUUCUGACGCUGAGGAACGAAAGCGUGGGUAGCAAACAGGAUUAGAUACCCUGGUAGUCCACGCUGUAAACGAUGAGUGCUAGGUAUCGGAAUAAUUCGGUGCCGCAGUUAACACAUUAAGCACUCCGCCUGGGGAGUACGUGCGCAAGC
rnacentral:rRNA from 1 species